rnacentral:rRNA from 1 species
CGCUGGCGGCGCGUCUUAAACAUGCAAGUCGAGCGGAGUAGCAAUACUUAGCGGCGAACGGGUGAGUAACACGUGGGUAAUCUUCCUCCGAAUCUGGGAUAACUUUCCGAAAGGAAAGCUAAUACCGGAUAGUUCUAUUGGAUCACAGGAUUUGAUAGAUAAAGGUUUACUGUUCGGAGAUGAGCCCGCGGCCGAUUAGCUAGUUGGUGAGGUAAUGGCUCACCAAGGCGACGAUCGGUAGCCGGCCUGAGAGGGUGUCCGGCCACAAUGGAACUGAGACACG